AUUUUAUUCUAACAAGAGGGGUUAUUCAUCUUCAGACAAACCAAAGAUCCUGUUCCUAUGGUACAAUCUUCUGACCAAUCGGAACCAUCCUCCCUUGAUUCAUCUGAUUCUCAAGACACCGUCAUCCUUUCGGAGAGUCCAUCCAGUAAACGGCUAAGGCUGGACUCAGAGGCCAAGCACUUGGUGGAAUCCAUUCUUACCCAAAAACCUGGAACGCAUAAUAAAUGAAUAUAAUCGAAGCAAGUCUUUAUCAGAUGAAACUAGAAGAAAAAUGGUUAACUUACUGGCUGCUGACAUGACAGAGAAGAAUGGGACAUCACCACCAAGACAGGUGAAAGAAAUGUAUGCCAGGGGAAUUGUGAGCUUCUUUCCCUAUCUGAGUGAUCCUUUCUCCAGGACCGGUUAUGAUCAUUACUAUGAUGGCGAGAGUGGCACAGGCUACUUGGCAUGGGGGAUUAAAACUAUUCAGCGAUCUGCUGCAAGAGACAGGCGAUCAUCAUAUGGAGAAUCACCUGGAGGAGCAUCUUAUGAUGAUCAGCUUGGAGGACCAGCUGCCAGGCGAGAACCCCAGUUAGUUCCAGAAACUGUGCUGAGUGAUGAUGAGUGUAAAGAGGCCAUAGCAUUGAUUAAACAUUCAGCGGAUGAAGAUGUAAUCAAGAGGAAGAUGAAGCUGACAUUUGACUUCGCCGCAACAUGGUCCUUGACCUGCAGCAGUCAAGCAAUGUUCUGACAGUCUUUCCACGUUUUAAAGACAUCAAAGGCUUGGUGGAACAAGAUUUUGCUCUGAUGUUUGGGGAGGAAAUCUCAGGCAAGUUUCUGGAAAAAUGGACAACUGCAUUCAAGCAGAAAGUUAUCCAACAAUGCAGGAAGCUGCAAACCACCAGUGAGUUGGAAGAUCUCCUCCUGGCAGCUGAUAACCCUGACAGUGGAGCCGAAGUGGAUGACAGCAUUGGGUGGGACAGUGACCUCUCAUCGAUUCUGCUGCUGUUGCACCUUAUUCCUCCCUCUGCCCAAGGUCGUAAAAGACCAGGAAAAGUGUCUGCUUCCCAAGCAGAAAAGCAUUUGGUGGUCUUCAAGAAGAUAGGAACCAACAUUCUAGAACAUCUUGAUUCCAUCAAGACAAGCACUCAACCCUAUCUCCUGGCUGUUGGACGAAAUAGGAAAGAAAUCCAUCAGUUCUUUAUCAUCCUUGACAAAAAUGCCAUCGCUUGCAGGUCGGCUUCCUCACUCAGUGCCUUUGAUGAACUAUUCAAGGCACAUUUUGUUUUUGCCACGAAAUACAAUCCAAUGCUACACAACAUGUUCACAUUCAUCCAGACAACUGUGUACAAUAUAGAUGCUGGGAAAGUGAAGGAGAGCCCCCGUGUUGCAGAAGUUCGGGCCAGGCUGCUUCAUUAGCACUUGAACUUGUCUAUUUAAGAUGAGGUGUUUUGUUUGUCACUCUGAGUUAACUUGUUCAAAUACUCUUGUUAGGCAUUUACGAGUAGUUCAUGGUUACAUAGAUGGGAAAAAUCUACGACUUAAAUGUGCUCAGACUGGAUGUGGUCGUGUACUUGGGACUUUUUCUGGAUUUAGAAAACAUUUAAACACCAAACACAUGGACACAAUUGAGCAACAAGGCCAGAACGAUGUCAGUUCAAGCAGGCCAAACCUCGGUGAUGCAAGAGACCUUGUUACUGUUGAUGUAGAGGCAGCAGAAUCAACAGCUACCCAAUUAACAAAGUCCAGCCUGACAAGGACCACAGAAUGGCGAAGACUCAGAUGCAGAGUUCUUGGAAAAACUUUUAUUCCUGAGAACCUGAGAUAGGCGUAGGGUUUGGUAAACAUCUACACAUGAUAAUCAGGGACAGGACAGAGGGAGACACAGACCAUAAAUACAUAUGAGGAGGGACAGCACAGGUGGGAACGAUCAGGGAUGAUUAGGUCUACAGCUGUGGGGAAAACAGACAUGAACAGGAAAGGGAGGAACUUUCAAAAGAAAACAGGAAGCGACACACAAGGACACAAAUGUCAGACAGGAACUUGACGAAACAUGACAGUACCCCCUCCCUAAGGACCGACACCAGACGGUCCAGGAGCCCCGGACCUGAAGAAGUCCGUCAGGAGGGAUCUGUCCUCGAUGAAACGCUCCGGAAUCCACUGGCGGUCCUCUGGACCAUAGCCCAGCCAGUCCACCAGUAACUGCCGACCACGACUCCGUUUCCUGACGGCCAGGAUCUUCCGCACCGUGUACACCGGUCCACCCCCACCAUCCUGGGCGGCGGCGGGGGCUCUGAGGGAGGCACCAGAGGACUGUCCACCACCGGCUUCACCUUGCUGACAUGGAACGUAGGAUGAACCCGGAGGGACCGGGGCAGACGAAGACAAACCGCAGCUGGGUUGAUGACCUUGGCGACGGGAAACGGCCCCACAAACCGGGGAGCCAGUUUUCUACACGGAACGUGUAGGUUGAGAUCCCUGGUCUCCUUUGCUUUUCAUAACUCGCCACAGGAAUGGACUAGAAACUUGCUUUUUUUUUUAAACAUCCUUAUAAUUUUUACUCUUCAUGACGGUGCCGUAUUAAACCAUCUGAUGGCCUGGUACGGCCCGCGGGUCGUGUGACACCCCUGCUCUAAAAGAAUGAGCUAAACUGGGAAAGAUGAACUGUGACGUAGAAAGGGAAGAAUGUCUUCUCUUUGACGGGAAUUUUAGAGGUUUCAGAUCAGGACACAGACUGCAGAAGAAUUGAAGAAAAUGUCUUGAUCAUGUGGCCAGAUAGAAAAUAAAAACAUGGGUCUGUUCCAUGGGCGGGACCAAACAUGGAGGCGGGCUGGAUCCAGCCCACGGGCCGUUGUUUUCCUACCCCUUUUCUAACUCUGCAGAAACUAUGUUCUAAUUAAACACCAGUGGGAAUACUUUGAGAAUGGAUCAAAAAAGGAUGGGAGAGGGUCUUUAAUGAUGUCAUCCAUUCCUUUUUUGAUGACUUGUUGGAGUUUAGACAUAUUUUGUUUCCAAACUUGCUUUGUAGUAUUUUUAUAUUCUUCCCCUAUUAUUUAUGCAUUGAAUUUUGUGAUUAAACUUACAUACUUUAUGCUAA